rnacentral:rRNA from 1 species
AAUCAACGCUGGCGGCGUGCCUAACACAUGCAAGUCGCACGAGAAAGGGGAGCAAUCCCUGAGUAAAGUGGCGCACGGGUGAGUAACACGUGAAUCAUCUACCUCCGAGUGGGGAAUAACUGAGAGAAAUCUUAGCUAAUACCGCAUAACACUUACGAGUCAAAGCAGCAAUGCGCUUGGAGAGGAGUUCGCGGCCGAUUAGUUAGUUGGCGGGGUAAUGGCCCACCAAGACGAUGAUCGGUAUCCGGCCUGAGAGGGCGCACGGACACACUGGAACUGAAACACGGUCCAGACUCCUACGGGAGGCAGCAGUGGGGAAUUUUGCGCAAUGGGGGAAACCCUGACGCAGCAACGCCGCGUGGAGGAUGAAGUAUCUUGGUACGUAAACUCCUUUCGAUUGGGAAGAUAAUGACGGUACCAAUAGAAGAAGCCCCGGCUAACUUCGUGCCAGCGCCGCAGU